AAUUCUGUAAUUUAAAAAAAAUAUAAAAUUGCAAAUUUUAAAAUGAAAAAUAAUCCAGAGUUU
rnacentral:tRNA from 1 species